rnacentral:rRNA from 1 species
AUUGAACGCUGGCGGCAUGCUUUACACAUGCAAGUCGAACGGUAACAGGCCGCAAGGUGCUGACGAGUGGCGAACGGGUGAGUAAUGCAGCGGAACGUGCCCAGUCGUGGGGGAUAACUGCUCGAAAGAGCAGCUAAUACCGCAUACGAGCUAUGGAUGAAAGCGGGGGACCGUAAGGCCUCGCGCGAUUGGAGCGGCGGAUGUCAGAUUAGGUAGUUGGUGGGGUAAAGGCUCACCAAGCCAACGAUCUGUAGCUGGUCUGAGAGGACGACCAGCCACACUGGGACUGAGACACGGCCCAGACUCCUACGGGAGGCAGCAGUGGGGAAUUUUGGACAAUGGGGGCAACCCUGAUCCAGCAAUGCCGCGUGCAGGAAGAAGGCCUUCGGGUUGUAAACUGCUUUUGUACGGAACGAAACGGUCUGGGUUAAUACCCUGGGCUAAUGACGGUACCGUAAGAAUAAGCACCGGCUAACUACGUGCCAGCCGCCGCCGUAAGAC